rnacentral:rRNA from 1 species
AUUGAACGCUAGCGGGAUGCUUUACACAUGCAAGUCGAACGGCAGCGCGGACUUCGGUCUGGCGGCGAGUGGCGAACGGGUGAGUAAUGUAUCGGAACGUGCCCAGUAGCGGGGGAUAACUACGCGAAAGCGUAGCUAAUACCGCAUACGCCCUACGGGGGAAAGCAGGGGAUCGUAAGACCUUGCACUAUUUGAGCGGCCGAUAUCGGAUUAGCUAGUUUGUGAGGUAACGGCUCACCCAGGCGACGAUCCGUAGCUGGUUUGAGAGGACGACCAGCCACACUGGGACUGAGACACGGACCAGACUCCUACGGGAGGCAGCAGAGGGGAAUGUUGGACAAUGGGGGCAAACCUGAUCCAGCCAUCCCGCGUGUGAGAUGAAGGCCUUCGGGUUGUAAAGCACUUUUGGCAGGAAAGAAACGUCGCGGGCUAAUACCCCGUGGAACUGACGGUACCUGCAGAAUAAGCACCGGCUAACUACGUG